AACGUGAGGACUGCGAAUGCAGGUCACUGUGAUAUAGUGAACUUUAGAUUAGAAUCUCCACGUUA
rnacentral:tRNA from 1 species